ensembl:lncRNA
CAAAGCUAUGAACCAGAUAAACAUCUCCAUUUUAUGCUAGUAGCUCCUAACUAAUCUUAUUAAAACCUUUCCAGACCCAGAUCAAUAUCUGAAAUGCACUCUGUUCUGUAAUUAAUCUGAUGAGACAUGCUAUCUAUGUUUACAGGUCCCUUCACAUUUUUCUUUAGAGUUUUUUAUUUUCAAAUUAAACUGGUUAAGGAGGUGCAGGGUUAUGAUCUUUGUUUCUGAGUAGCUUUUUCAUGGACUUAUUAAAUAUCCUGUACUGAGUGCGCUCAGUAAUUCAAUGAUCCUGCCCUGGUGAAUGCAGUUGGAUACCAGUGUCUAAGAGACCGUGCACAGAGUCUGCUUCAGCUCUUCAGGACACGGGCUAUCUUUGAGGACAAUCUUCUGACACCUGAUUCUUGGAAUAAAGGACUAUCUGACUGCAACACCAUUGAUUAGCGAUGGACUAAGCUCGCCCAGCAGUGUGAACAAAUUGCCUGGAAAUGUCGUCAUCAGGCUUCAACUGGCACUAUCUCCCUUUCUGUCUGGGUCAUUGAUUUCCUCAUCUCCUUUGCCUUAAAACUCACAUCAUACAUCAAUUUCUGAAUCUCCAGCACUGAAGCAGCUGCACUGUGCCUUUCCUGCUCAACACCAGCAGCUUUCAGCCUCUGAAGUGUCCUUUACUGAUGCUCAUCUGAAGACCUCCUGAGUGUGCCUCAAGUGGCCUCCCUGCCUGCUACAUAACAGCCUGUGCUCUGCCAGCUUUUGUUUCAUCACAAGAGGGCUUAGAGCUGUUCUGCUCUCGGAAAUUGGGUAAAAUUUGGUCUCCUUCCUACAAUGACUCAGUGUGCUGGAGAAAUGACUCCUGCCUUGUGCGAGCAGCUAUGGCAGGGCACCGAGCUGUGCCAGCCUCUGCUAGCCACCAGCUACCCUCAGGAGAGCCCCUCAGCCAGCAAGGAGCUGGGGCUGCUCUGCACACGGGUCUUAUGAUUGCUAAAUGUAGAGUCCAUUGAUAAAUAAAGCAAAUGCACAAAGUGUGCAAGAACCAGCAGUUGUUACAGUGUCAUCUUAGCUAACACAGCCUUUUCCUCUGUUCUUUUGCUUUCC